rnacentral:rRNA from 1 species
GACGAACGCUGGCGGCGUGCCUAAUACAUGCAAGUCGAGCGAAUGGAUUAAGAGCUUGCUCUUAUGAAGUUAGCGGCGGACGGGUGAGUAACACGUGGGUAACCUGCCCAUAAGACUGGGAUAACUCCGGGAAACCGGGGCUAAUACCGGAUAACAUUUUGAACCGCAUGGUUCGAAAUUGAAAGGCGGCUUCGGCUGUCACUUAUGGAUGGACCCGCGUCGCAUUAGCUAGUUGGUGAGGUAACGGCUCACCAAGGCAACGAGGCGUAGCCGACCUGAGAGGGUGAUCGGCCACACUGGGACUGAGACACGGCCCAGACUCCUACGGGAGGCAGCAGUAGGGAAUCUUCCGAAAGGGACGAAAGUCUGACGGAGCAACGCCGCGUGAGGGAUGAAGGCUUUCGGGUCGUAAAACUCUGUUGUUAGGGAAGAACAAGUGCUAGUUGAAUAAGCUGGCACCUUGACGGUACCUAACCAGAAAGCCACGGCUAACUACGUGCCAGCCGCCGCAGUAA